rnacentral:rRNA from 1 species
UACGGAGGGGGCGAGCGUUAUUCGGAAUUAUUGGGCGUAAAGGGCGCGUAGGCGGCUUGACAAGUCAAAGGUGAAAUCCCUCGGCUCAACUGAGGAACUGCCUUUGAAACUGUCUGGCUUGAGGCCGGGAGGGGGUAGCGGAAUUCCCAGUGUAGCGGUGAAAUGCGUAGAUAUCCGGAGGAACACCAGUGGCGAGGGCGACUUUCUGGCCUGUUUCUUGACGCUGAGGCGCGAAAGCUAGGGGAGCAAACGGG